rnacentral:rRNA from 1 species
UUCCGGUUGAUCCCGCCGGAGGCGACCGCUUUGGGAGUUCGAUUAAGCCAUGCGAGUCGUGAGUCUUAGGGACUCGGCAUACUGCUCAGUAACACGUGGAUAACCUGCCCUAUCGUCUGGAAUAACCUCGGGAAACUGAGAAUAAGGCCGGAUAGUUCGCAAUGCCUGGAACGGUUUGUGAAUCAAGGUAGGAUGGGUCUGCGGCGUAUCAGGUUGUAGGGGGUGUAAAGGACCCCCUAGCCUUCGACGCGUACGGGUGUUGGGAGACAUAGCCCGGAGAUGGAUUCUGAGACACGAAUCCAGACCCUACGGGGUGCAGCAGGCGCGAAAACUUCACACUGCAGGAAACUGUGAUGAGGGAACUCCUAGUGCAUGCACUAUGUGUAUGUAGAUCCUACUCUUAACAAGUAGAGGGAAAGGGCUGGGAAAGACCGGUGCCAGCCGCCGCGGUAGUACCGGCAGCUCAAGUGGUCGUCGCUUUUAUUGGGCCUAAAACGUCCGUAGCCUGUUUGGUAAAUCUGUGGGUAAAUCAAUCCGCUCAACGGAUUGAAUUCUGCAGAGACUGCCAGACUAGGGACCGGGAGAGGUGUGGGGUACUCGAGGGGUAGGGGUAAAAUCCUGUCAUCCUUCGAGGACCACCAGUUGCGAAGGCGCCACACUGGAACGGAUCCGACGGUCAGGGACGAAGCCUAGGGGCACGAACCGGAUUAGAUACCCGGGUAGUCCUAGGUGUAAMCGCUGUGAACUUGGUGUCGGGGGUCCGCAAGGGGUCCCCGGUGCCGGAGUGAAGAUGUUAAGUUCACUGCCUGGGGAGUACGGUCGCGAGGCUGAAACUUAAAGGAAUUGGCGGGGCAGCAC